AGAGAUCACUAGCUGCUGCGUGUUCCCUGUCAGCAAAUGUCAUAGGGGUCAAUUCCCUAUGGAUGCUUUUAGCGAUGACACUUAGGUUAGACAGGGAGGAGUCAACCCAGCCUCCCAUUCUCUUCCCGGAUCCUGGUCCUUCUUUUCACUGCAUAGAAGCAGGAAGAGAACAGAAGCUGUCACAAAUCAGUCCCCACUGAGGAUUCAAAGCCUCGUGUCUGGACUCCCAUCGAAGCUGUCUUCAAAGAUGCCAAACAGCACAGUGACAACAUCUGCCUUCUUGUCCAGUGGAAGACUCUGAAACACCGAGCUGUGAACAGAGUCUUUUAAACCUCCUUUAGAAGACAGGUAGCAGAGAAGCAAGCUCAGGUGUCAGCUGCAAAUGGCCUUUUUCUUCAAAGAGUUGUUUAGACUUGAGUUCUUUUCUGAAAUUGGAGUGCAAAAGUUCAGAGUUCUACUAUGAUUCUCCAAUCGUUCAUUAGUAUUCCUGGCCUGUCCUAUAAUUACGAGAGUCUUUGACUUUUCACCUGUAAUAACGCAUUGUCCUGGGGACAUGGAUGCCCUCACACUCUUACUUCCUUCGAUCAACACAUGUAUAUGUGACACAGACCAGCAGAAAAAGGACUGGGCCAAUGUAACGAUCUCAAACAGGUUCAAACCUGCCCCCAGGGCUGUGUCAGCGCCAUGCUCUAGCUUAAAGAGCAAAAUUAAGUCAUAAGCUAAGACAAAGGGCAUAAAGUAGACAGGGUCUCUCUGACUUCUCAGACUUUGCAAUUCAGGAUAGACAAUCAAAUGAGGCUUUUUCUCACAACUCCCUCAAACACACACACACACACACAAACCUGUGAGUUCCAAAGUGCAAAGGAAUCCGUCUGGAAUAGCCUAAGGAAGAAUGUUCAUUCCACUCCUCUCCCUGGCAUAACUACUGCCCAACGGGGGAAGCAGCCCUGCCCAAUGAUCAGGCCUCAGGCUCUGUGGCCAGGCAGGAUGCAGGCAUCCCAACUCUAGCACCCACUCGUAGGGUAACUGGGUUGGGAUUUCUGAACCUUGACUUCCUCAUCUAGACAAUGGACACAAGAGUGUACUAGCUCAGAGGGCUGGUGGUGAGAUUAAGUAAGACAAGAUGAUAACAUGCAGCACCCCAGAGCGAUGGCUCAGGGUGUGAUAUGGUUUGAAUCUGUGCCCCCACCCAAAUCUCAUGUUCAAGUGUAAUCCCCAGUGUUGGAGGUGGGGCCUGGUGGGAGGUGGUUGGAUCAUGAGGGCUGUUUCUCAUGGAUGAUUUAGCACCAUCCUCUUGAUGCUCUCAUCACAAUAGUGAGAGUUCUCAUGAUGAGAUCUGGUUGUUUAAGAGUGCAGCACCUCCGCCCUGACUCUCUGGCUCCUGCUCCUGCCAUGUGAGACUCUCCUCCCACCAUGGCUGCAAGCUUCCUGAGGCCUCCCCAGAACCUGAGCAGAUGCCAGCAUCAUGCUUCCUGUUACAGCCUGUGGAACAAUGAGCCAAUUAAACCUCUCUUCUUUA
rnacentral:lncRNA from 1 species